rnacentral:rRNA from 1 species
UACGAAGGGGGGCUAGCGUUGCUCGGAAUUACUGGGCGUAAAGGGAGCGUAGGCGGGUCGUCAAGUUGGGGGUGAAAGCCCAGGCUCAACCUUGGAAUUGCCUUCAAAACUGACGAUCUAGAGUAUGGAAGAGGUAAGUGGAACUCCGAGUGUAGAGGUGAAAUUCGUAGAUAUUCGGAAGAACACCAGUGGCGAAGGCGACUUACUGGUCCAUGACUGACGCUGAGGCUCGAAAGCGUGGGGAGCAAACAGGG